rnacentral:lncRNA from 1 species
AGGGAGCACAGCAGCAUGCCAGAUCCUCCCUGGAUUUGAGCAUAUCAGCCUGCUAAGUGUCCAGCAAGGCAAAUCAGGGUGCUGCUAGGAACUGUCCCAUGUGAAGAAAUUAUAAGGAAAAGAAACCUGUAAGUGAAACCAUGCUGUAGGUGCACCAGCAAACCAUCCUGACAUGAAAGACAGAUAAGGUAGGCCAGCUUAUCUGCAUAAGGAAUCCUCCAGUGACUUGAAUAUCAAAAAGGAAAUCCUACAAAGAGUGAAAU